rnacentral:rRNA from 1 species
UUCGCAAUGCCCGAAAGGGUGACGGUGCGACGCCGCGUGGGUGACGAAGGCCUUCGGGUUGUAAAGCCCUGUCGAGGCGGGAAGAACCCCCCAUCGGUGAACAGCCUUUGGGGCUGACGGUACCGCCACAGGAAGCUCCGGCCAACUCCGUGCCAGCAGCCGCGGUAACACGGAGGGAUCGAGCGUUAUUCGGAUUCACUGGGCGUAAAGGGCGCGUAGGCGGGAUGGCAGGUCGGCCGUGAAAUCCCCCGGCUCAACCGGUGACAUGCGGUGGAAACUGCGAUUCUUGAGUUCGGGAGAGGAGGGCGGAAUUCCCGGUGUAGCGGUGGAAUGCGUAGAUAUCGGGAAGAACACCGGUAGCGAAGGCGGCCUUCUGGCCCGUAACUGACGCUGAAGCGCGAAAGCCGGGGGAGCGAACAGGAUUAGAUACCCUGGUAGUCCCGGCCGUAAACGAUGGGCACUAAGUAGAGGGGUUUU